UACUGACAUAGUCGACCGGUCUCACGCAUUGUCGUGAGCACUUGUGUUGUAUUAGGUCAUUCUUGGAUUUUAGCCAGUCUGGCAUUAAGUUGUCGGGUUGGUGAAAACCAUCGUUUACUGUGAAAAAAUUAGAGUGUUCAAAGCAGACUUAUGUCGUUGAAUAGAUUAGCAUGGAAUAAUAAUAUAGGACUUUUGUACUAUUUUGUUGGUUAGGUGUAAAAGUAAUGAUCAAUAGGGACAGUUGGGCGUAUUCGUAUUUCGUUGCUAGAGGUGAAAUUCUUGGAUUUCCGAAAGACGAACUACUGCGAAAGCAUUUACGAAGGAUGUUUUCAUUAAUCAAGAACGAAAGUUAGGGGAUCGAAGAUGAUUAGAUACCAUCGUAGUCUUAACCAUAAACUAUGCCGACUCGGGAUUGGGCGUUGU
rnacentral:rRNA from 1 species